AGUUUUCCAAGUGCCAAUCAACGCGAAUGACCCGCCAAUAAUGCCAAGUAAGAGACAAAUCAAGAAAUGUUGUGGUAUGGUUUGUUGUGGGCCGUUUGGAUGACAGAAUCGUGAGUUUUUAGCAUAACUAAGUUAUAUGAUGUACUGUACGGGGAGCACGCAACAGCCGGUGUUUUAUAUGAUUUAAAUUAAUCACGUGCGCUUGGUGUGACUUGCACAUUUCCUCUAUGUCGCGCAUAUCCUCUGAAUUUGCGCUGAAGUCUGACAGACCUUUCACGAUAAAAAUUAGCGAAAUAAUUUUUUUUUAAAUUAUUGUAAAAUAUGAAUUUUUUAAUAAUUGAGCAUUGUGUUCAGUGGCAGCUGUGCAUGAUCGCAAUGGAUUUUAAUAUGGCAUAAAAUGACUUGGAAAGUUUAUACACAAAAAUUUUAACAUUUUUAAUUUGUGGUUCGAAGCAUAUAUAAUAUUACAAAAAUGGUAUUAAUUUAUUAAUUUUAUAAUUAGGUGCAAUAAUUUUAGUUACUUUAGGC